rnacentral:rRNA from 1 species
UACUAGCACCCCGAGUGGUCGGGACGAUUAUUGGGCCUAAAGCAUCCGUAGCCGGUUUUACAAGUCCUCCGUUAAAUCCAGCUGCUUAACAGAUGGGCUGCGGAGGAUACUAUAAGACUAGGAGGCAGGAGAGGCAAGCGGUACUCAGUGGGUAGGGGUAAAAUCCGUUGAUCCAUUGAAGACCACCAGUGGCGAAGGCGGCUUGCCAGAAUGCGCUCGACGGUGAGGGAUGAAAGCUGGGGGAGCAAACCGG